AUUAAACGCUGGCGGCAUGCCUUACACAUGCAAGUCGAACGGCAGCACGGGGGCAACCCUGGUGGCGAGUGGCGGACGGGUGAGUAAAGCAUCGGAACGUAUCCUGGAGUGGGGGAUAACGUAGCGAAAGUUGCGCUAAUACCGCAUACGCUCGAGAGAGGAGAGUGGGGGAUCGCAAGACCUCACGUUAUAGGAGCGGCCGAUGUCCGAUUAGCUAGUUGGUGGGGUAAAGGCCUACCAAGGCGACGAUCGGUAGCUGGUCUGAGAGGAUGAUCAGCCACACUGGGACUGAGACACGGCCCAGACUCCUACGGGAGGCAGCAGUGGGGAAUUUUGGACAAUGGGCGAAAGCCUGAUCCAGCCAUGCCGCGUGCGGGAAGAAGGCCU
rnacentral:rRNA from 1 species